GAUGAACGCUGGCGGCGUGCCUAAUACAUGCAAGUCGAGCGAACAGACGAGGAGCUUGCUCCUCUGACGUUAGCGGCGGACGGGUGAGUAACACGUGGAUAAACUAACUAUAAGACUGGGAUAAUUUCGGGAAACCGGAGCUACUACCGGAUAAUAUAUUGAAAUGCAUGGUUCAAUAGUGAAAGAAGGUUUUGCUAUCGCUGAUAGAUGGCACGGCCUCGGAUUAGCAAGUUGGUGAGGUAACGGCUUACCAAGGCAACGAUCAGCAGCCGACCUGAGAGGACGCGCCGCAACACCGGGAGGGAGGCACGGGUAAGACUCCUACGGGAGGGAGCAGAGGGGAAACUGGCGCACUGGGCGAAAGUCUGAAGGAGCCAUGACGCGUGAAUGAUGAUGGUCUGAGGAUUGUAAAAUUCUAUGACCGGGGACGAUAAUGACGGUACCCGGAGAAGAAGCCCCGGCUAACUUCGUG
rnacentral:rRNA from 1 species